rnacentral:sRNA from 1 species
GAGGGAUCCAGACCCCAGUUCGCCGACUAAGCAGAAGAAAGAUCAAAAACCGGAAAAGAGGAGAAGAGCAAACAGGCACUUUGAGGAACAAUCCCUUUAACUCCAAGCCGACAGCGGUCUAGGAAUUCAAGUUCAGUGCCUACCGAAGACAAAGGCGCCCCGAGGGAGUGGCGGUGCGACCCCAGGGCGUGGGCCCGGCCGCGGAGCCCACACUGCCCGGCUGACCCGGUGGUCUCGGACCAUGUCUCCCGCCCCAAGACCCUCCCGUUGUCUCCUGCUCCCCCUGCUCACGCUCGGCACCGCGCUCGCCUCCCUCGGCUCGGCCCAAAGCAGCAGCUUCAGCCCCGAAGCCUGGCUACAGCAAUAUGGCUACCUGCCUCCCGGGGACCUACGUACCCACACACAGCGCUCACCCCAGUCACUCUCAGCGGCCAUCGCUGCCAUGCAGAAGUUUUACGGCUUGCGAGUAACAGGCAAAGCUGAUGCAGACACCAUGAAGGCCAUGAGGCGCCCCCGAUGUGGUGUUCCAGACAAGUUUGGGGCUGAGAUCAAGGCCAAUGUUCGAAGGAAGCGCUACGCCAUCCAGGGUCUCAAAUGGCAACAUAAUGAAAUCACUUUCUGCAUCCAGAAUUACACCCCCAAGGUGGGCGAGUAUGCCACAUACGAGGCCAUUCGCAAGGCGUUCCGCGUGUGGGAGAGCGCCACACCACUGCGCUUCCGCGAGGUGCCCUAUGCCUACAUCCGUGAGGGCCAUGAGAAGCAGGCCGACGUCAUGAUCUUCUUUGCCGAGGGCUUCCAUGGCGACAGCACGCCCUUCGAUGGUGAGGGCGGCUUCCUGGCCCAUGCCUACUUCCCAGGCCCCAACAUUGGAGGGGACACCCACUUUGACUCUGCCGAGCCUUGGACUGUCGGGAAUGAGGAUCUGAAUGGAAAUGACAUCUUCCUGGUGGCUGUGCACGAGCUGGGCCAUGCCCUGGGGCUCGAGCAUUCCAGUGACCCCUCGGCCAUCAUGGCGCCCUUUUACCAGUGGAUGGACACGGAGAACUUCGUGCUGCCCGAGGAUGACCGCCGGGGCAUCCAGCAACUUUAUGGGAGUGAGUCAGGGUUCCCCACCAAGAUGCCCCCUCAACCCAGGACUACCUCCCGGCCUUCUGUUCCUGAUAAGCCCAAAAACCCCACCUAUGGGCCCAACAUCUGUGAUGGGAACUUCGACACUGUGGCCAUGCUCCGAGGGGAGAUGUUUGUCUUCAAGGAGCGCUGGUUCUGGCGGGUGAGGAAUAACCAAGUGAUGGAUGGAUACCCAAUGCCCAUUGGCCAGUUCUGGCGGGGCCUGCCUGCGUCCAUCAACACUGCCUACGAGAGGAAGGAUGGCAAAUUCGUCUUCUUCAAAGGAGACAAGCAUUGGGUGUUUGAUGAGGCGUCCCUGGAACCUGGCUACCCCAAGCACAUUAAGGAGCUGGGCCGAGGGCUGCCUACCGACAAGAUUGAUGCUGCUCUCUUCUGGAUGCCCAAUGGAAAGACCUACUUCUUCCGUGGAAACAAGUACUACCGUUUCAACGAAGAGCUCAGGGCAGUGGAUAGCGAGUACCCCAAGAACAUCAAAGUCUGGGAAGGGAUCCCUGAGUCUCCCAGAGGGUCAUUCAUGGGCAGCGAUGAAGAUGUUAUCCAGUGGGAGUUUUGCAAAACACAGCUGGAGCCAGUGGAGGAGCCUGGGGAGGGGGGACUGCCAGAGAGAAGAG